UACGUAGGGGGCAAGCGUUGUCCGGAAUUAUUGGGCGUAAAGAGCUCGUAGGCGGUUUGUCGCGUCUGCUGUGAAAACCCGAGGCUCAACCUCGGGCCUGCAGUGGGUACGGGCAGACUAGAGUGCGGUAGGGGAGAUUGGAAUUCCUGGUGUAGCGGUGGAAUGCGCAGAUAUCAGGAGGAACACCAAUGGCGAAGGCAGAUCUCUGGGCCGUAACUGACGCUGAGGAGCGAAAGCAUGGGGGAGCGAACAGG
rnacentral:rRNA from 1 species